rnacentral:lncRNA from 1 species
AUGCAUUGGAUAAGCACCGCAUUAAAGCUGACCUUUUUGCAAGAGUUUUGGAAGAAUGUUGUCCUGAUAGGGAAAUCUUGGAGCAGUGGUUUACUGUGCACAGACCAGAGUUUUCAAGGCCAUGAGCACAGCAGACUAUCAGGGUGAAAGCCAGGGCCUUGCAUCUUAAAUCACCACCUCCUUGCAGGUAGCUAUCAUGGGUGGUAGUGGGAGUCAGGGCUGGGGUAGUUUGGGACUGGAAUCUGGGGGCUGGGGGGAACCAUGUAGGUGGAUGCAAAAUCG